GUCGAUUCUCGUUUGCGGUUGCCUCGUUUUUCGCUCCGCUUCGUUGUUGUUUUUGUUAUCCGUCGGUUUCUUUUAGCGGAGUUUGUUUUCGGUUUUCGAUUAAGUUCUGUUUUCGCUUUUUUUUUCUGUGCCCCGAGUUGCACGCAGGCGCAACAGCAAAAUAAGAGGAGAAACAGCGAAAAUCGUUGUUGCAAGUGGCUGCGUUCUCCGACGUCGACGGCGCAGCGGCGCAGGCGCAACAGCAGCGGAACAACGAAUCAAAUGGAAUUGGAUUUCGCCUCAACGAACAAUUAAUUGGAAUUACAUUUCAACUGGAAGUGAGUUGCCUUAAUUUGGAGGAAGGAAAAUUGAAUUGGGUAAG